rnacentral:rRNA from 1 species
CAGCCACUCAUUCAAAGAGUGCGUAAUAGCUCACUGGUCGAGUGAUCCUGCGCCGAAGAUUUCCGGGGCUAAAACGUACUACCGAAGCUACGGCAUCAGUAAUGAUGGGUAGGGGAGCUUCCCAUACAGGUUGAAGCAUGACCGUAAGGACAUGUGGACAGUAUGGGAGUGAGAAUGUUGGCAUGAGUAGCGAGAUGUGGGUG